rnacentral:rRNA from 1 species
CGGGGUGCAGCAGGCGCGAAAACUCUACAAUGCAGGCAACUGCGAUAGGGGAACAUCGAGUGGCGUCCAUAUUGGAUGUCUGUCCUCCCGCCUAAAAAGCGGGAGUUAGCAAGGGCCGGGCAAGACCGGUGCCAGCCGCCGCGGUAAUACCGGCGGCUCGAGUGGUGGCCGAUAUUAUUGAGUCUAAAGGGUCCGUAGCCGGCUUUGCAAGUCUCUCGGGAAAUCCAGCGGCUUAACCGUUGGUCGUCCGGGGGGUACUACAUUGCUUGGGACUGGGAGAGGUAGGAGGUACUCAGGGGGUAGGAGUGAAAUCCUGUAAUCCUUUGGGGACCACCGGUGGCGAAGGCGUCCUACCAGAACAGGUCCGACGGUGAGGGACGAAAGCUAGGGGCACGAACCGGAUUAGAUACCCGGGUAGUCCUAGCCGUAAACGAUGCUCGCUAGGUGUCACAACAGUCGUGAACUGUUGUGGUGCCGUAGGGAAGCCGUGAAGCGAGCCACUUGGGAAGUACGACCGCAAGGUUGAAACUUAAAGG